CAUAACGACAUUUCAUCAACAUGAAUAGGAUAUUACAUUGUUAUUUGUAAGUGAUACAAAUACAAUCAAUACUCUAAAAUGUUUUUAUAGAUUGCGACCGUGUACUCGAUUGCCACCGUUUAAAUUUCGAAAACAGGCAAUACACAAAAGGACAUAGACAAAAAAACUACUUCUCACUUCUGCUUCAUCUUUCCUUUUUUUCUCAAAAUUUGGCUCUUUUCCCACACUCCUUGGUUUCUUACAAUACAUUGUUGUCUUCUCGAAACCAUAACUAUUUGAUAUUCAUCCACCGUUGAUUCACUUAUCUCUCGUCUUCCAUGACUCAUGUACGGCCAGGAUUCAAGAUCACAAUACAGAAAAGACUUCACGCUGAUUAACAACAACAAACAUAUUUUAUCAUUUUGGCAGAAAAAAAAGAGUCUUGAUUCGAAAUUUGAGCGUGCUAAUGGUUUAAUCAAUUAAAGGGACAAAGAAAAGCAACUUUAUAAAAUCAGUAGUAAUCAGUAGAUUUAUACCAUUCUUGUCCAUCGCUUUGAAACACUUUUUUUUUAUUUUCUGAUAAAAGAAAAAAACACACCAACUUUAAGGUACAUCCAACGGUUACCAAUCGAUCUGGUCUAAGUUUGAAUCAUAGCCGUUUACAUUAUUUUGACCAAAGUGCUUAUUACAAAACGGUCCACACACUCUCUUUCCACUACAAAGUACUAGCAGUCUUGAAAAAAACACAAACCCAUCACCUUUCUCUCUCUCAGAAGUGGGCAUGGCUUCACUGAGAUUCCUUCAUGUCUUCUCCUUCUUCCAUCUCAUUAUCAACUGCCACUCUCUCUCCACCUCCUCCGAUGUGAAGCUUCUCGUGGGAAAGAUCAAACCUUCCCUCCAAGGCACCAGCGAGAGCCUCCUCUUGUCUUCUUGGAACUCAUCUGUUCCCGUCUGCCAAUGGAGAGGGGUAAAAUGGGUAUUCUCAGACGGCUCCCCUCUCCAAUGCACCGCCCUCUCUUCACCCCCAACCCAAUGGACAAACCUCUCUCUCUACAACGACUCCUCCCUCCACCUCCUCUCUCUCCAGCUCCCUUCCGCUAACCUCACCGGCUCCCUCCCCGGAGAGCUCGGCGAGUUCUCCAUGCUCCGAAGCCUCUUCCUCAACAUCAACGCCUUGAGCGGGCCCCUCCCUCUCGAGCUCGGCUACGCUUCCUCUCUCUCUGAUAUCGACCUGAGCGGUAACGCCCUAACCGGCGCCUUCCCUCCGUCGAUUUGGAACCUCUGCGAGAACCUCGUCUCAUUAAAGCUUCACGGUAACUCCUUCUCCGGGGCCUUGCCUGAGCCCGCCUUGCCGAACUCGACUUGUGGUAGUCUCCGAGUUCUUGAUUUGGGUGGUAAUAAGCUCUCAGGCGAGUUCCCUGAGUAUGUAACAAAGUUUAAAGCUCUGAAGAUGCUUGAUCUUUCGAGUAACGUCUUUCAAGGCUCUGUUCCCGAUGGUUUGGGGUUGUUACAGCUAGAAACUCUCGAUCUUUCUCACAAUAACUUUAGUGGGAUGCUGCCGAGUUUCUUCGGUGAAUCUAAGUUUGGAGCUGAGUCUUUCCAAGGGAACAGUCCCAGCCUCUGUGGUUUUCCUUUGAAGCCGUGUCUAGGCUCCUCUCGGUUGAGUCCUGGCGCUGUUGCUGGACUGGUGAUAGGUUUAAUGUCUGGAGCCGUUGUUGUCGCGUCGUUGCUGAUAGGGUACUUGCAGAACAAGAAGAGGAAGAGUAGUAUAGAGAGUGAAGAUGAUUUGGAAGAAGGCGACGAAGAAGAUGAGAUUGAUGGUGGUGGUGGUCAGGGUGAAGGGAAGCUAGUUGUGUUCCAAGGCGGUGAGAAUCUGACGUUGGAGGAAGUUUUGAACGCGACGGGGCAAGUCAUGGAGAAGACUAACUACGGUACGGUCUACAAGGCGAAGCUUAGUGAUGGUGGGAAUAUUGCGUUGAGGCUGUUGAGAGAAGGUACUUGCAAGGACAGAAGCUCUUGUCUGCCUGUUAUAAAGCAGUUAGGGCGGAUUCGGCACGAGAAUCUGGUUCCUCUGAGAGCUUUCUAUCAGGGGAAGAGAGGAGAGAAGCUUCUCAUCUAUGACUACAUCCCCAACAUAAGCUUACAUGACUUGUUGCACGGUAUGGUAACAUUAUUCCCAACAUAAGUUCGAAUGACCACUGGGACGAAACUAAUAUUACAUGUUGAUUCUGCCCGAACCUCCUGGUAAUUCAAAAAAAUAAAAAAGUAUUCAUGUGUUGUUUGAAUGAUUGUGCAGAAAGUAAACCGGGGAAGCCGGCUUUGAACUGGGCCAGGAGACACAAGAUUGCGUUGGGGAUAGCGAGAGGACUUGCUUAUCUUCACACCGGACAAGAAGCUCCCAUCAUCCACGGCAAUAUAAGAUCGAAAAACGUGCUGGUGGAUGACUUCUUCUUCGCUAGGCUGACUGAGUUUGGGCUUGAUAAGAUCAUGGUGCAAGCGGUGGCGGAUGAGAUAGUCUCGCAGGCGAAAUCAGACGGGUACAAGGCGCCUGAGCUUCACAAGAUGAAGAAAUGCAACCCGAGAAGCGAUGUUUACGCCUUUGGGAUCCUUCUUUUGGAGAUACUGAUGGGUAAGAAGCCUGGGAAGAGUGGGAGGAACGGUGGUGAGUAUGUUGAUCUGCCUUCUUUGGUUAAAGCCGCGGUGUUGGAGGAGACGACGAUGGAGGUUUUCGACUUGGAGGCGAUGAAAGGGAUCAGGAGUCCGAUGGAGGAAGGUUUGGUUCAUGCGUUGAAGCUGGCGAUGGGAUGCUGUGCUCCUGUUACGACGGUUAGACCGAGUAUGGAAGAGGUUGUGAAGCAGUUGGAAGAGAACAGGCCGAGGAAUAGAUCAGCGUUGUAUAGCCCUACGGAAACGAGGAGCGACGCUGAGACACCAUGCUGAGUUUGGUUUCUGUUGUUAUACAAAGCAUUUUGUAAUUCUCCCACUUUUGUUGUUGGUUAUAUGCAUUUGUUUCAUAGGAAAGGUACCCAUUCUGAUUUUGUUUUGAUUUUUAGUUUUAUCUUUUGUCAAUGACAGUGGUUUUAACAAAAGCAGAAGAAGCUAAUAUGAUGAAUCUACUUCAGUUUCGGUCUUGGGUUUUGAGGGUUAUGCUAUUAAAACUAAUAUGAAGAAACUAAAACUGCGUAUCAAGACCACGUUCGACAGUACAAACAAACUUUUUUAUAUUUCACUAUAAAAUAGUUGGAUUUGUUUUAAUGGUUCAUUCUAUGGAAUAAUGUUACUUUUUUACUCUAAAUAUAAAGUAAAACAAUAACAUUAAUCCAUAUUUUAUUUUAUUAUAUAGUGAACCAUUGAACCAAAUCUAACUCUAUAAUAUAAUUACUUUAUUUUGGUGUGAAAUAUAGAUAAAAUUUUUGUAUGCCAUUAAAAAUAUUCUAAUCAAGCAUUUAAGAGCACCAAAAGUUAAGCAUAGCAACAUAAGAAUGCAGAAACCUAUGCUUCCACUAACAACACGAAAUAGUAGAAAAAUUCGAGAAUCUCUGAGCUUACAUUGUCAAUGCAUUUACAUGGACAAAGAAUGCUAGAAUUAUUACCAGUUGCUGAGAGAGCGAAAAAGCUUCUCGAGACUGUCAUUGUUGGAUAUAUUGAAGCUCUCUCUCCUUUGUUUGCAGGAGAAAUGAGGAGAGAGC
rnacentral:lncRNA from 1 species